GAACGCUGGCGGUAUGCUUAACACAUGCAAGUCGAACGGAAACGAAACUAGCUUGCUAGUAGGCGUCGAGUGGCGGACGGGUGAGUAACGCGUAGGAAUCUGCCUGAUAGUGGGGGAUAGCCCGAAGAAAUUCGGAUUAAUACCGCAUAAUCUAUUCGUAGUAAAGUGGGGGACUUUCGAGCCUCACGCUAUCAGAUGAGCCUGCGUAAGAUUAGCUUGUUGGUAGGGUAAAAGCCUACCAAGGCAACGAUCUUUAGCUGGUCUGAGAGGAUGAUCAGCCACAUCGGGACUGAGACACGGCCCGAACUCCUACGGGAGGCAGCAGUGGGGAAUAUUGGACAAUGGGGGCAACCCUGAUCCAGCAAUACCGCGUGUGUGAAGAAGGCCUGAGGGUUGUAAAGCACUUUCAAUUGUGAAGAAAAGUUAACGGUUAAUAACCGUUGACCUUGACGUUAACUUUAGAAGAAGCACCGGCUAACUCCGUGCCAGCAGCCGCGGUAAUACGGAGGGUGCAAGCGUUAAUCGGAAUUACUGGGCGUAAAGCGUGCGUAGGCGGUUUAUUAAGUCAGAUGUGAAAGCCCCGGGCUUAACCUGGGAACUGCAUUUGAAACUGGUCAACUAGAGUAUGGUAGAGGAAAGUGGAAUUUCUGGUGUAGCGGUGAAAUGCGUAGAUAUCAGAAGGAACAUCAAUGGCGAAGGCAGCUUUCUGGACCAAUACUGACGCUGAGGUACGAAAGCGUGGGUAGCAAACAGGAUUAGAUACCCUGGUAGUCCACGCCGUAAACGAUGAUAACUAGCCGUUGGGGGGAUUUACCCCUUAGUGGCGAAGCUAACGCGUUAAGUUAUCCGCCUGGGGAGUACGGCCGCAGCUAACCUC
rnacentral:rRNA from 1 species